UACAUCUCAAAGUUCAUGUCAGGUCAUGUUCACAACAAUUCCUCUAGCUACUUGGACAAGACUGAUCAAGAAUGAGGACAAAUGGUGGAACUCUAAGACUAGAAAAUGACGGUGACGGAUAAAAUUUCAUAGCUAAGUAAUAAAAAAUUUAAGCUAAUACCAUUUAGUUAUAGAUUAGUGAUGAAUUUUAAGAUAAUUUAAUUAGCUAAGAGUGAUGAAUUAACUUUAAAAUAUCGAUAAAUUUCAUAACUAAUUAAUUUCUAGUAAUUUCUAAAACAAAGAUAUAGAUAGGCAUCACUCUUUGUUAAGUCUCUCCCUUGUCAAUGAUUUCCC
rnacentral:lncRNA from 1 species